UGUGCUCGAAACAAAGUGCACCAUGUGACAAAAGUGCCACAAAAGUCAGCCAAUCACAGACAUGGACACGAAGGUGAUGCUGAUUGGUCAGAAAUCCUUCCUGAUCCCGUCUAUGAGCUGAUUGGGGGGAUUUAGUGGCACAAUUGUAAUGUUGCCACAUAAGAAGAGAAGUUCUCUUGAGUGAAAGUUAAUUUGAUUGCACAUAUUUUAGGUUUCAAGAGUAAAAUUGUUUUGCUUGCAACGAUUUUUGAGUUUCAAGUGCAAAAUCAGUUUUGAGCGCACAACAUUUUGUAGAGUUUUAAGCGCCAAACAGAGACAAAAAUCCCAUCAACUUGUUGACAAAUAAAUCCAUGAACGUCCUCAUUUUCUUCGCCCAAGCUGACACUUGGCUCAAAACUGUACAGCUGGACAUCCCCGAUAUUUUUCUCUGUUUUUUUAUGCUAGGCUAAUGUUAGCUGAGGCUUGUGAGGUGUUGUAAGCUAGCGUGACAGAGUGUAAACAAAGGACUGAUGGGAAAUUAGUGGAGCCAAUUUCAGUGGCAAAAGUCCCGCCCACAACUCGGAGGCAAAUUUCUGAUGAGCUCCUGCUGCGCUGCAGAAAAUACACCAUCAGUUUGACUAAAAAUGGCAUAAUCUUGGGUAAAAGACCACUGGGGAAAAAAUAUAGCUGAAGUGGGCCUUUACUUUAAUUUCCUAAAGUCUAAUUUACAAUAAAAAAAAAUCAUUAUUGUCAUUAUUGUCUAUACUGUAAAUGUAGUGUUUAGAUAUUUAAUAUAAAGAUAUUAACCUCUAAACAUUAACCAAACCCUCAUUAUUGCUUUUUCACUUGUUAUUGUUCUGGUUUUGACAGCUCAGCUUAACUGUGUGGUUUUCUUGUGUAACUUUUGUCAGUUGUGUAACGGGAAACAGUUUUGGUAAAUUGACACCGUUUGUGACAGAACUACCCAUUUCUGAUGCCAGGUUGUAUUUCCAUUCCACUUUGUGUCAGCCCUUUAAAUCUGUGAGCUGCUCUCACCGUCUUCCUGCUCCCCGGUCCAAAUGAAGACGCUCUCAUUUGCAUGUUUUCAGUUUCUGUCGUGAAACAGUGAAAUUGUGAAUAGAAAAAGGCGCCUCGUGGUUUGCUGCACACCAACUGUUUCUGGGUUUGCAGUUGCUGAUUUCCUUUCAGCAAAAAAAAAAAAAAAGUGAAAAGACUGACCGUUCUUUGCUGGAUUUACAAAACAAACAAACACAAAAACAGCAGUUGUUUUGCUUGAGAACAUUUUUGUGAAGCAACACUUUCAGUCACCCACGAACUGCUGCUGCAAUCUUCCUGUACUUUAGUCCCCGGCGCAGCUUUUACUCAGCCACUCUGGAGAUGACUGGUUCAUGCUGGUAACUGAAAUUUGAUGUUUAGGAUUAACCUGGUUUUUAGUCACAAUACCUAGAAGUUUGUGCCAGAGCAAGAGUCAAAGCUGAAGCAUGAAAGAGGCGCCGGUUCCUGUGCGACGCAGAAUCCAGCUCAACCCGACACAACAGGAAAACUUGAAGAAUGUUGACACUGAUGCCACAUCCAGACGGUUUGAAAUCUGGGACACCAACGCUGUGGACGACGUCCACUGAGAUUUUCACAACAUCUCUCACUUAUUACCGAACGCCGCCUGCAGACGCGCUCCGCCUGGGAAGGAAGUUGUGGAAAUGAGACUGCGGCCGCCGAUGCCAGGACCGGCGGAGGGAGAGUGGGCCUGCUUCUGACAGACGUGGCAGGCGUGGGGUAAAAAGAUGUGUGGAAUUAAUGAGGCCAGGUGAUGGAGGGAGGCAGCCAGGCGCUCCGGCCUGCCUGCAGUUCACCUGCAGAGCUGCUCGUCUGAAAACCCGCCUGCAUCUGCAUCAUCACUUGGCUGAAGGCGACUUAAUUAAAGCUAACAAGCAGUGCAUCGACGGCACGCUGACGCCGGGGGGGGGGAGGGGGGGCAGUAUUGUGCAUGCAGGUGAAGCACACUGUUGAUUUAAAAAGUGAAGGCUGGCUGACAGCAUGGCUAUCAGGAAGUAGACGAGUCUUCCUCAUCCCCGGAGGAGAUGAAGAAGACGCAUCUUUAAAUGGCUGCAAAUAUCUAAACCUUUACAAGAUGCAAACGUCUACCUUUAAUAUUAUAUCCCUUUUUAUUUUCUCUAAAGAUUCUCCAGAAUUUUCUGUCUCUUCACAACAGUAAAUGAGCCCGGGGUGUAAACACUUUCUCCAAAUGGAUGAGUUUUAAAUCAGAGCCUCAGCAGCUGCUUUUAUCAACAUGGAUUUGGUUUGCAGAAAGACUCACUGAAGUCUUUCUAGAUGAGAUUAUAAAACCUGUUUAUUGAAUUUCUUGAAAAAAUAGUGAUUUAAAAAGUACAAAUUUACUUUUAUGACUUUAAUUAUCUAAAUUCCAAACCUUUUUUUGCAGGUUUUUGUCUAAAAUCUUCUGAUUUUUCAUGAAUUUGAUGUUGGAGCAGAUGUUGUUU